rnacentral:rRNA from 1 species
UACGUAGGGUGCAAGCGUUAAUCGGAAUUACUGGGCGUAAAGCGUGCGCAGGCGGUUUUGUAAGUCUGACGUGAAAUCCCCGGGCUCAACCUGGGAAUUGCGUUGGAGACUGCAAGGCUAAAAUCUGGCAGAGGGGGGUAGAAUUCCACGUGUAGCAGUGAAAUGCGUAGAGAUGUGGAGGAACACCGAUGGCGAAGGCAGCCCCCUGGGUCAAGAUUGACGCUCAUGCACGAAAGCGUGGGGAGCGAACAGG